rnacentral:rRNA from 1 species
CGGACGGGUGAGUAAUGCUUAGGAAUCUGCCUAUUAGUGGGGGACAACAUCUCGAAAGGGAUGCUAAUACCGCAUACGUCCUACGGGAGAAAGCAGGGGACCUUCGGGCCUUGCGCUAAUAGAUGAGCCUAAGUCGGAUUAGCUAGUUGGUGGGGUAAAGGCCUACCAAGGCGACGAUCUGUAGCGGGUCUGAGAGGAUGAUCCGCCACACUGGGACUGAGACACGGCCCAGACUCCUACGGGAGGCAGCAGUGGGGAAUAUUGGACAAUGGGGGGAACCCUGAUCCAGCCAUGCCGCGUGUGUGAAGAAGGCCUUUUGGUUGUAAAGCACUUUAAGCGAGGAGGAGGCUACCGAGAUUAAUACUCUUGGAUAGUGGACGUUACUCGCAGAAUAAGCACCGGCUAACUCUGUGCCAGCAGCCGCGGUAAUACAGAGGGUGCAAGCGUUAAUCGGAUUUACUGGGCGUAAAGCGCGCGUAGGUGGCCAAUUAAGUCAAAUGUGAAAUCCCCGAGCUUAACUUGGGAAUUGCAUUCGAUACUGGUUGGCUAGAGUAUGGGAGAGGAUGGUAGAAUUCCAGGUGUAGCGGUGAAAUGCGUAGAGAUCUGGAGGAAUACCGAUGGCGAAGGCAGCCAUCUGGCCUAAUACUGACACUGAGGUGCGAAAGCAUGGGGAGCAAACAGGAUUAGAUACCCUGGUAGUCCAUGCCGUAAACGAUGUCUACUAGCCGUUGGGGCCUUUGAGGCUUUAGUGGCGCAGCUAACGCGAUAAGUAGACCGCCUGGGGAGUACGGUCGCAAGACU